rnacentral:snRNA from 1 species
UAACUUAGCUGGCAGAGAAGAUACUGUACCAUGAUCACUAAGGUGAGGUUCACCCAUUGCAUUCUGGGUGUGCUGAACCUGGCGAUUUCCACAAAGCUGGGAAACUCACCUGCAUAAUGUGUGGUAGUGGAGGACUGCAUUUGUGAUCUCCCUUG